rnacentral:rRNA from 1 species
GAGUUUGAUCAUGGCUCAGAUUGAACGUUGGCGGCAUGCCUUACACAUGCAAGUCGAACGGCAGCAUGAUCUAGCUUGCUAGAUUGAUGGCGAGUGGCGAACGGGUGAGUAAUACAUCGGAACGUGCCCUGUAGUGGGGGAUAACUAGUCGAAAGAUUAGCUAAUACCGCAUACGACCUGAGGGUGAAAGUGGGGGACCGCAAGGCCUCAUGCUAUAGGAGCGGCCGAUGUCUGAUUAGCUAGUUGGUGGGGUAAAGGCCCACCAAGGCGACGAUCAGUAGCUGGUCUGAGAGGACGAUCAGCCACACUGGGACUGAGACACGGCCCAGACUCCUACGGGAGGCAGCAGUGGGGAAUUUGGACAAUGGGCGAAAGCCUGAUCCAGCAAUGCCGCGUGUGUGAAGAAGGCC